UACGUAGGUGGCAAGCGUUGUUCGGAAUUACUGGGCGUAAAGGGCUCGUAGGCGGCCAACUAAGUCGGACGUGAAAUCCCUCGGCUUAACCGAGGAACUGCGUCCGAUACUGAAAGGCUUGAAUCCGGGAGAGGGAUGUGGAAUUCCAGGUGUAGCGGUGAAAUGCGUAGAUAUCUGGAGGAACACCGGUGGCGAAGGCGGCAUCCUGGACCGGCAUUGACGCUGAGGCGCGAAAGCUAGGGGAGCAAACGGG
rnacentral:rRNA from 1 species